ACCAGUGUGGCACAGUGGUUUGAGCACUGGACAGUGACUCUAGAGAUCAGGGUUCAAUUCCAUGCUCAAUCA